GGACUACUUAAAAAAACCUUCCGCCAGAGUCACAUGCGGCCCGGGGCCAGCGCGCACAAUGCAAAGACAAUGAUCUGCAGGAAACUUUUCCCAAGGCCACAAGACUUUAGAAGCUGGUCUUAACUACACCACUGUGGAGAGGACCUUUUCAGCGUCAAAACACGAAGAUAAUAGAUAAUAGACUUGUGAAACUGAGGAAGACUACUAACAAGAAGGACGUUUACAACAAAGUCAUUGACAUCUUUGUCCAGAGGGAUAGAUGCAUGGACUUUGUCAACGAAUACCAAAAACCAAGAUGGCGACAACCAAAAUCCUGAACUAAAGGCUCCAAACCCGUUGUCCAGAAACCAGUGGGUGACAUUACUGUGACUAAGGCCACUUCUUAUUCACAGUCA